GAGUUUGAUUCUGGCUCAGAUUGAACGCUGGCGGCAGGCUUAACACAUGCAAGUCGAACGAUGAUUACUAGCUUGCUAGUAUGAUUAGUGGCGAACGGGUGAGUAAUGCUUAGGAAUCUGCCUAUUAGUGGGGGACAACAUUCCGAAAGGAAUGCUAAUACCGCAUACGUCCUAUGGGAGAAAGCAGGGGAUCUUUUGACCUUGCGCUAAUAGAUGAGCCUAAGUCGGAUUAGCUAGUUGGUGGGGUAAAGGCCUACCAAGGCGACGAUCUGUAGCUGGUCUGAGAGGAUGAUCAGCCACACUGGGACUGAGACACGGCCCAGACUCCUACGGGAGGCAGCAGUGGGGAAUAUUGGACAAUGGGCGAAAGCCUGAUCCAGCCUUGCCGCGUGUGUGAAGAAGGCCUUUUGGUUGUAAAGCACUUUAAGUGGGGAGGAAAAGCUAAUAAUUAAUACCUAUUCUGCCCGGACGUACCCACAGAAUAAAGCCCCGG
rnacentral:rRNA from 1 species